rnacentral:tRNA from 1 species
UAGACCUAUAACUCAGUUGGUAGAGUAGCUGCCUUACAAGCAGCGAGUCAUCGGUUCGAGUCCGGUUAGGUCUAA